AGCCGCGGUAAUACCUGCAGCCCAAGUGGUGGUCGAUAUUAUUGAGUCUAAAACGUUCGUAGCCGGUUUAAUAAAUCCUUGGGUAAAUCGGGGGGCUUAACCUUCCGAAUUCCGAGGAGACUGUUAAACUUGGGACCGGGAGAGGCUAGAGGUACUUCUGGGGUAGGGGUAAAAUCCUGUAAUCCUAGAAGGACCACCGGUGGCGAAGGCGUCUAGCUAGAACGGAUCCGACGGUGAGGGACGAAGCCCUGGGGCGCAAACGGGAUUAGAUACCCCGGUAGUCCAGGGUGUAAACGCUGCAGACUUGGUGUUGGGGACCCUUCGCGGGUAUUCAGUGCCGGAGAGAAGUUGUUAAGUCUGCUACUUGGGGAGUACGUCCGCAAGGAUGAAACUUAAAGGAAUUGGCGGGGGAGCACCGCAACGGGAGGAGCGUGCGGUUUAAUUGGAUUCAACACCGGAAAACUCACCAGGGGAGACUGUUACAUGAAAGCCAGGCUAAUGACUUUGCUAGAUUUUCAGAGAGGAGGUGCAUGGCC
rnacentral:rRNA from 1 species